GGACAAAGACUGACGNUCAGGUGCGAAAGCGUGGGGAGCAAACAGGAUUAGAUANNNGGUAGUCCACGCUGUAAACGAUGUCGACUUGGAGGUUGUGCCCUNGAGGCGUGGCUUCCGGAGCUAACGCGUUAAGUCGACCGCCUGGGGAGUACGGCCGCAAGGUUAAAACUCAAAUGAAUUGACGGGGGCCCGCACAAGCGGUGGAGCAUGUGGUUUAAUUCGAUGCAACGCGAAGAACCUUACCUACUCUUGACAUCCACGGAACUUGCCAGAGAUGGCUUGGUGCCUUCGGGAACCGUGAGACAGGUGCUGCAUGGCUGUCGUCAGCUCGUGUUGUGAAAUGUUGGGUUAAGUCCCGCAACGAGCGCAACCCUUAUCCUUUGUUGCCAGCACUUCGGGUGGGAACUCAAAGGAGACUGCCGGUGAUAAACCGGAGGAAGGUGGGGAUGACGUCAAGUCAUCAUGGCCCUUACGAGUAGGGCUACACACGUGCUACAAUGGCGUAUACAAAGAGAAGCAAACUCGCGAGAGCCAGCGGACCUCAUAAAGUACGUCGUAGUCCGGAUUGGAGUCUGCAACUCGACUCCAUGAAGUCGGAAUCGCUAGUAAUCGUAGAUCAGAAUGCUACGGUGAAUACGUUCCCGGGCCUUGUACACACCGCCCGUCACACCAUGGGAGUGGGUUGCAAAAGAAGUAGGUAGCUUAACCUUCGGGAGGGCGCUUACCACUUUGUGAUUCAUGACUGGGGUG
rnacentral:rRNA from 1 species